UGCAAAAGUGUUUUCUGAAAUGUAAAAGUGUUUUCUGAAAUGUAAAUUUGUUUCGGUACUUGUGAAAGUGUUUUGCACCCCCCGGCCACCGUAGUUUCCCGUUAUCUUAACUGAUGCCAUAAAUCCAUAAAAAUGAGGAUAAACAUUUAUUUAUGGUUCUCAUAUAUUCGGCAAGUCAAUUUAUUUUGAAAUAUAUUGAGAUAAGAUCCUACAAAGCCAUCUUACUGACAGUAAAAUUAAAAUCCUUAAGUUUUUUUUAAGUUAUGUUAUCCCAUAUUUCACUACCAGUCUGGCGCCAGUAGAGGGGUGUGUUUAGUGUCUGAUGGACAGGAUCUUGUUUGGACAUACCAAGUCACCCCGAAUUUGAGCAGCUGGCAGCCCUGAAACUCACAGUUCAUAUUAACUGGUAAAAUCGGGAAUAUUCAGCUAAUGAGGAGGUCGACUGAACUCAUGCACUAAUCCGCAAAACUAGCAGGUAUAAUUUCUGCCUGACCUGUCCCAGUCCGCCGUUGUGGUACUGGAUACUUCCUGGAAUUGGACUGAACCUGGCAAGCGGGGCUUCUUUCCUGACACUUAUCCUCUCCCUGGUGGUUUCCCCGGAUUCUCCAUGGACCCAUUGAGGCAUGGACUCACCUAGAUCCCUGAAAGUGAGCUGUGGUAUCUGGCAUCAAGAUGUGACCAACAGAUCUUUUAGGUCCAGUACGUUGUGCGAUGAGGCCUCCAUAGAUCGGAUUCAUUUCUUCAGCAGGUCCAGAAGACGCUUGAUUCACAUUGAUCUGGGAAAUUAAGAGGCCUAGUCAACAAAUUCAUUGUUGUGUUUGUCAAACUAUUCCUGAAAAUUUUUUUGUGUUGUGGCAAGGUGCAUGACCUUGUUGAAUAUUGCUACCAUGAAGGUGUCUACAUUGGUCUGCAACACUUAGGUAGCACAAAUCAAAGUAACAUCCACAUGAAUGGCAGGACCCAAGAUUUGUCAGCAGAACAUUGCCCUAAGUGUCACACUAACUCUGCUGGCUUGCCCUUUUCCAACAGCGUGUCCUAGUGCUAUGUUCUCCUCAGCUAAGCAAUGUACAUAUGCAUCAAUGUCAUGUAGGAGAAAAAAGGUGAUAUAUCAGACCAGGCCACCUUCUUUUAUUGCUCUGUGGUCCAUUUCCGAUGCCUAUGUGCCCACUGUAAGUGUUUUCCGGCAGUGGAGAGGUGUCAGGAUGGAAACUCUUAUUACUUUGUAUGUGCAGCCCCAUACCCAUCAAAUUGUAAUACACUGUGUAUCCUGACCCCACUCAUAUAUGUACUACAGUAGCUUACCUGACGAUUCAGACCACACAGGCCAACUUUUGCUCUCCAUUUGCAUCAGUGAGCCUGGACACCCAUGACCCUGUUGCUGGUUCACCACUGUUACUCCCAAUGGACCACUUUUCCUUCAUACUUAACACUACAGAUUGAGGACACCCAUUAGGAGCUCUGACCCAGUCUUCUGAUCCUCCCAAUGUAGCCCUUGUCAAAUCAUGAGACUUACCUGCUUCUACAAAUCAACUGUAAAGACAAUAUGUUCAUUUGCUGCCUAAUAUAUCCAACUCAUGGGUUUAUUGGUGAUGACAGCAGAAGUCGUGCACAUUUUUACCAUUUUGUUGUGUUUGUCAAUGACUUUGCAGUUAAUAAACCACGUUCAACAUAAUCUUGUGUUCAGCACAAUAAAAACUACAGCAGGGUGAAAUACCUCUUA